rnacentral:rRNA from 1 species
UACAGAGGUCUCGAGCGUUGUUCGGAUUCAUUGGGCGUAAAGGGCGCGUAGGCGGCGGGGUAAGUCUGGUGUGAAAUCUCGGAGCUCAACUCCGAAAUUGCACUGGAUACUGCUCUGCUAGAGGGCUGGAGAGGAGAUCGGAAUUCACGGUGUAGCAGUGAAGUGCGUAGAUAUCGUGAGGAAGACCAGUGGCGAAGGCGGAUCUCUGGACAGCUCCUGACGCUGAGGCGCGAAGGCUAGGGGAGCAAACGGG